rnacentral:lncRNA from 1 species
AUGGCUUUGAGGGCUGGAGGAAGGGCUACUUCAAAUGAGGAUGGAGGGUGGUGGGUUCCUAAAGGAGCCAGUGCAUGGAGGGUCACAGGUGCCCAACAGGAGCGAGAAAGGCAGUGAUGCUGUCCUCAGGGUGCAUUUCAUGUCUGCUGUGCGAGUGGAGUUGGACUAGCUGGCCGGGUGUGACCCUUCCUUGGGAGGCAUUGAAUGCUGAACCAAGAGGCUCAGACAGACCUGAUCAGCACAGGGGACAGGUGGUCAGAGGAAACUGGGUGUGUGCGAGUUGUGUGGACGUGGGUCUGAGUCUGUCCUCUCCUGUACGUCACGAGUGGGCAAGUUCGUGGCUUCAGAAUCUCACACCCUUGUGUAGAAAACAGCGGUUGGUGAUAGAAUGGCAGUGGGGGCCGCAGUGGACGCUGUCUGCACGGCAUGUCCAUGGGUGCUCCCGUGGGCAGGCUGGCUCUGGGAACCACUGUGGUUGGGAAAGACUGACUUCACCUCCUGGCUUGAGAUGGGAUGCGUGACCCUGGCCAGGGACAUCUGUCGUCAUUGCCCUCAGGACUCGUCACUUCCAUCUUCUGGGAUAGUGGCAGGUCAUACACAGCACAUGAUGUAUAGGGUGUGGAUGGGACCUCUCCACAUCCACAUGCUUUGUGUACUACACAAGCUGCCUAAUUAAACAAAACUGCCCUGACCCUGGCCAAUGAGAACAGUCAGGGAAGGGGGGUGACCCCUACCAAGGUCAAUAGGAGGUAAUAUAACCCCACAAAAGGGUCUGCUGAGAGUAAAUUAAGACAAGGAAACAGGACAGGAGAAUGACAUAAAUGCACCAUGGGAGGUCCUUGAUCCAGCCAUGCCUUAAGCUGCAGGUAGCUCUGGAAUUUAUCAACUGUGUUACUAAUAAUUGUUUAGAGAUAGUCCCUGUGUCUGCCUGUCAUUUCUGUUCAUGUUGCUGCAUAUGACAAGAAGGAAAGGUCCUGACCACUCUUUAUUGGGCCAUUUCCAUUUCCAAUAUGUUUGCAGCUGUGAGGAAUGAGGCGAUGUCUCCCUCCAGGACAUCAUCUCUGAGAUGACAUGAUGCCUUCUCCCUAUUGCUUGCUAGAAACACGAUUCGUGCAUUUCACAAUGCUCAGUGUUACUCAGCUACAGGGCAGACCCACUGUGUGCAAAUCUCAGACCCACCUGAGUGAUAUUGUGUCACCCCAAAGGACUUGGGGUCAGGGGAGCCAACGGAGGUGUGCAGAGCUCAAGCUGCCUGUUGGGCCAUGAGUGUAAGUCCUUGAUCUCUGGUCCAAGCGUCUAUGUCUUCUGCCAGCCUCCGUGGAACGGGGCUGACUUGGCUCAUAGGUAGGGUAAAAUUGAAAUGCCAUGGUCUUUCC